ensembl:lncRNA
AUUUCUGUGAAGAAAAUAAAUAGCGCUGGAUGACAGUUGAGACUUACGUGAUUCAAAGGCAGUUACGCGAAGCUCUGGGGAAGAGCUUUCCAGGAGAGGGAAUGGCAGGUGCACAAGCCCCAAGGUAAGAAAGGGAAAGGCUAAGACCAGAAGGCAGGCUGAUAUGGAGGAAUCUUCCAGAAGAAGUCCAAAGGAUGAACUGAGACUGGACUUGAGGCAGGACCUUGUGAGCCCAGAAGUGUCUGUCAGUUUCCUGAAAUUUUCACAGAAUUUUUCCUGCAUGCCCACCACUCCAAGUUUCAACAGACAAGGCUAACUCAGUUCACUAGACAAGCAAGCACUUAAACUGAGAAGGCAGUGAUAAACACAGGAAGUUAUUUCACCCUGGGAAUAUUCCGGAAACCAACUUUGAAUAAUUGCUUCAUGUUCAGUUGGACACAAGUUCACUCCCAGGUUGACUCACGUAUGUAAAUGCUCUGACUACCGUCUGACUGCAUCGUACACACACCCCUACCUUUCCAAAAUGCUAACUACGCAGCAUACAUCAGCCACUCCUGAUUCAGAGCCCUGAGUCCUUCGUCAUCAACCUGGGCUCCUGCCUUUGUCUCCUACCCUCAUCCAGUCCAACAGCAAACCCCACCCUCUCCAUCUCCCAAAUAGAUCCAGAAUCUGGUCACUCUUCACCAUCCUGCAGCAGCACCUCGGUCAAAUUCCAGUCAUCGCUGAGCUGCACGACAGCGACAGCCUCCAAACUCCUCUCCCCGUUUCCGCCAUUGGAAGGCUUGGAGCUGAUCUGACUUAAAUUUUAAAAGACUCAUUCUGGCCGCUGUGUGGAGGGCACACUGGAAGCUCACCUCUUUCUCUGGACCAAUUUCUAUCUGCUUUUUUCCUUCACAUCUAAAAUAGGUGCUCCCCAAGGAUUUGGCUCCUGAUCAUAUAUAUAUGUAUAUUUGUAAUGGAGUCUCACUCUGUCACCUAGGCUGGAGUGCAGCGAUCUCGGUUCACUGUAACCUGUGCCUCCCGGGUUCAAGUGAUUCUCCUGCCUCAGCCGUCUGAGUAGCUGGGACUACAGGCGUGCACCACCACGCCCGGCUAAUUUUUGUAUUUUUAGUAGAGAUGGGGUUUUGCCAUGUUGGCCAGGCUGGUUUUGAACGCCUGACCUCAGGUAAUCCACCUGCCUCGGCCUCCCAAAGUGCUGGGAUUACAGGCGUGAGCCACUGUGCCUGGCCACUGAUCCAAUAUUUUAUAAAGCCUGUGAAGAGGAUGACUAAUUCGUGGAAUCACAGGUUUUAAUAAGUUCAGGGGUACUGGACUCAGCAACUUGCAACUGGUUAUUUACUGCAGGGAUUCUCAGAGCCUUUAAUAUCCGCACGUGUCCCGGGGUUCCUCAAGAGAAAGACAACAGCGGGUGUUUUCAAACCAUGCUGUUGUCUCAGAUUCCUCCAGGGCUUGCUCCCUUUGUCCUUCAGGUUCAUGCUCCAUGUCACCUCCUCAGGGAAGCUGUCGCUGGCUAUCCAUCACAUCCUGUCCCCUUUCCCUGAUUUAGUAUUUUGGUAUAUGUAGCAUUUAUCAACAUUAAUAAAACUAUAUCUCUUUUUUCCUA